GACGAACGCUGGCGGCGUGCUUAACACAUGCAAGUCGAACGAAGUGGCGAACGGGUGAGUAACGCGUAAUCAACCUGCCCUUCAGAGGGGGACAACAGUUGGAAACGACUGCUAAUACCGCAUACUGAAGGAGGGGAUUGCGUCUGAUUAGCUAGUUGGAGGGGUAACGGCCCACCAAGGCGAUGAUCAGUAGCUGGGUGUAGCGGAUGAACGGCCACAUUGGGACGUAGACACGACCCAGAAGCCUACGGGAGGCAGCGGUGGGGAAUCUUCCGCAAUGGACGAAAGUCUGACGGAGCAACACCGCGUGAGUGAUGACGGCCUUCGGGUGGUAAAGCUCUGUUAAUCGGGACGCGGUACCGGAAUAGAAAGCCACGGCUAACUACGUGCCAGCAGCCGCGGUAAUAC
rnacentral:rRNA from 1 species